AGUGAACGCUGGCGGUAGGCCUGACACAUGCCAGUCGAACGGCAGCACAGUAAGAGCUUGCUCUUACGGGUGGCGAGUGGCGGACGGGUGGGGAAUACAUCGGAAUCUACUUUUUCGUGGGGGAUAACGUAGGGAAACUUACGCUAAUACCGCAUACGACCUACGGGUGAAAGCAGGGGAUCUUCGGACCUUGCGCGAUUGAAUGAGCCGAUGUCGGAUUAGCUAGUUGGCGGGGUAAAGGCCCACCAAGGCGACGAUCCGUAGCUGGUCUGAGAGGAUGAUCAGCCACACUGGAACUGAGACACGGUCCAGACUCCUACGGGAGGCAGCAGUGGGGAAUAUUGGACAAUGGGCGCAAGCCUGAUCCAGCCAUACCGCGUGGGAGAAGAAGGCCUUCGGGUUGUAAAGCCCUUUUGUUGGGAAAGAAAAGCAGCAGGUUAAUACCCCGCUGUUCUGACGGUACCCAAAGAAUAAGCACCGGCUAACUUCGUG
rnacentral:rRNA from 1 species